GGUUAAGUUAGAAAGGGCGCACGGUGGAUGCCUUGACACUAGGAGUCGAUGAAGGACGGGACUAACGCCGAUAUGCUUCGGGGAGCUGUAAGUAAGCUUUGAUCCGAAGAUUUCCGAAUGGGGAAACCCACCAUACGUAAUGGUAUGGUAUCCUUAUCUGAAUACAUAGGGUAAGGAAGACAGACCCAGGGAACUGAAACAUCUAAGUACCUGGAGGAAGAGAAAGCAAAUGCGAUUUCCUGAGUAGCGGCGAGCGAAACGGAACAUAGCCCAAACCAAGAGGCUUGCCUCUUGGGGUUGUAGGACAUUCUAUACGGAGUUACAAAGGAACGAGGUAGACGAAGCGACCUGGAAAGGUCCGUCGUAGAGGGUAACAACCCCGUAGUCGAAACUUCGUUCUCUCUUGAAUGUAUCCUGAGUACGGCGGAACACGUGAAAUUCCGUCGGAAUCUGGGAGGACCAUCUCCCAAGGCUAAAUACUCCCUAGUGAUCGAUAGUGAACCAGUACCGUGAGGGAAAGGUGAAAAGCACCCCGGAAGGGGAGUGAAAGAGAUCCUGAAACCGUGUGCCUACAAAUAGUCAGAGCCCGUUAACGGGUGAUGGCGUGCCUUUUGUAGAAUGAACCGGCGAGUUACGAUCCCGUGCGAGGUUAAGCUGAAGAGGCGGAGCCGUAGCGAAAGCGAGUCUGAAUAGGGCGUUUAGUACGUGGUCGUAGACCCGAAACCAGGUGAUCUACCCAUGUCCAGGGUGAAGUUCAGGUAACACUGAAUGGAGGCCCGAACCCACGCACGUUGAAAAGUGCGGGGAUGAGGUGUGGGUAGCGGAGAAAUUCCAAUCGAACCUGGAGAUAGCUGGUUCUCCCCGAAAUAGCUUUAGGGCUAGCCUUAAGUGUAAGAGUCUUGGAGGUAGAGCACUGAUUGGACUAGGGGUCCUCAUCGGAUUACCGAAUUCAGUCAAACUCCGAAUGCCAAUGACUUAUCCUUAGGAGUCAGACUGCGAGUGAUAAGAUCCGUAGUCAAAAGGGAAACAGCCCAGACCGCCGGCUAAGGUCCCAAAGUGUGUAUUAAGUGGAAAAGGAUGUGGAGUUGCUUAGACAACUAGGAUGUUGGCUUAGAAGCAGCCACCAUUUAAAGAGUGCGUAAUAGCUCACUAGUCGAGUGACUCUGCGCCGAAAAUGUACCGGGGCUAAAUACACCACCGAAGCUGCGGAUUGAUACCGAAUGGUAUCAGUGGUAGGGGAGCGUUCUAAGGACAGUGAAGUCAGACCGGAAGGACUGGUGGAGUGCUUAGAAGUGAGAAUGCCGGUAUGAGUAGCGAAAGACGGGUGAGAAUCCCGUCCACCGAAUGCCUAAGGUUUCCUGAGGAAGGCUCGUCCGCUCAGGGUUAGUCAGGACCUAAGCCGAGGCCGACAGGCGUAGGCGAUGGACAACAGGUUGAUAUUCCUGUACCACCUCUUUAUCGUUUGAGCAAUGGAGGGACGCAGAAGGAUAGAAGAAGCGUGCGAUUGGUUGUGCACGUCCAAGCAGUUAGGCUGAUAAGUAGGCAAAUCCGCUUAUCGUGAAGGCUGAGCUGUGAUGGGGAAGCUCCUUAUGGAGCGAAGUCUUUGAUUCCCCGCUGCCAAGAAAAGCUUCUAGCGAGAUAAAAGGUGCCUGUACCGCAAACCGACACAGGUAGGCGAGGAGAGAAUCCUAAGGUGUGCGAGAGAACUCUGGUUAAGGAACUCGGCAAAAUGACCCCGUAACUUCGGGAGAAGGGGUGCUUUCUUAACGGAAAGCCGCAGUGAAUAGGCCCAAGCGACUGUUUAGCAAAAACACAGCUCUCUGCGAAGCCGUAAGGCGAAGUAUAGGGGGUGACACCUGCCCGGUGCUGGAAGGUUAAGGAGAGGGGUUAGCGUAAGCGAAGCUCUGAACUGAAGCCCCAGUAAACGGCGGCCGUAACUAUAACGGUCCUAAGGUAGCGAAAUUCCUUGUCGGGUAAGUUCCGACCCGCACGAAAGGUGUAACGAUUUGGGCACUGUCUCAACCAGAGACUCGGUGAAAUUAUAGUACCUGUGAAGAUGCAGGUUACCCGCGACAGGACGGAAAGACCCCGUGGAGCUUUACUGUAGCCUGAUAUUGAAUUUUGGUACAGUUUGUACAGGAUAGGCGGGAGCCUUUGAAACCGGAGCGCUAGCUUCGGUGGAGGCGCCGGUGGGAUACCGCCCUGACUGUAUUGAAAUUCUAACCUACGGGUCUUAUCGACCCGGGAGACAGUGUCAGGUGGGCAGUUUGACUGGGGCGGUCGCCUCCUAAAGUGUAACGGAGGCGCCCAAAGGUUCCCUCAGAAUGGUUGGAAAUCAUUCGUAGAGUGCAAAGGCAUAAGGGAGCUUGACUGCGAGACCUACAAGUCGAGCAGGGACGAAAGUCGGGCUUAGUGAUCCGGUGGUUCCGCAUGGAAGGGCCAUCGCUCAACGGAUAAAAGCUACCCCGGGGAUAACAGGCUUAUCUCCCCCAAGAGUCCACAUCGACGGGGAGGUUUGGCACCUCGAUGUCGGCUCAUCGCAUCCUGGGGCUGUAGUCGGUCCCAAGGGUUGGGCUGUUCGCCCAUUAAAGCGGUACGCGAGCUGGGUUCAGAACGUCGUGAGACAGUUCGGUCCCUAUCCGUCGUGGGCGUAGGAAAUUUGAGAGGAGCUGUCCUUAGUACGAGAGGACCGGGAUGGACGCACCGCUGGUGUACCAGUUGUUCUGCCAAGGGCAUAGCUGGGUAGCUAUGUGCGGAAGGGAUAAGUGCUGAAAGCAUCUAAGCAUGAAGCCCCCCUCAAGAUGAGAUUUCCCAUAGCGUAAGCUAGUAAGAUCCCUGAAAGAUGAUCAGGUUGAUAGGUUCGAGGUGGAAGCAUGGUGACAUGUGGAGCUGACGAAUACUAAUAGAUCGAGGACUUAACCAU
rnacentral:rRNA from 1 species